AGAGUUUGAUCCUGGCUCAGGACGAACGCUGGCGGCGUGCCUAAUACAUGCAAGUCGAACGAAGCUUUCUUUCACCGAAUGCUUACAUUCACCGAAAGAAGCUUAGUGGCGAACGGGUGAGUAACACGUAGGCAACCUGCCCAAAAGAGGGGGAUAACACUUGGAAACAGGUGCUAAUACCGCAUAACCAUGAACACCGCAUGAUGUUCAUGUAAAAGACGGCUUUUGCUGUCACUUUUGGAUGGGCCUGCGGCGUAUUAACUUGUUGGUGGGGUAACGGCCUACCAAGGUGAUGAUACGUAGCCGAACUGAGAGGUUGAUCGGCCACAUUGGGACUGAGACACGGCCCAAACUCCUACGGGAGGCAGCAGUAGGGAAUCUUCCACAAUGGACGAAAGUCUGAUGGAGCAACGCCGCGUGAAUGAAGAAGGCCUUCGGGUCGUAAAAUUCUGUUGUCAGAGAAGAACGUGCGUGAGAGUAACUGUUCACGUAUUGACGGUAUCUGACCAGAAAGCCACGGCUAACUACGUGCCAGCAGCCGCGGUAAUACGUAGGUGGCGAGCGUUGUCCGGAUUUAUUGGGCGUAAAGGGAACGCAGGCGGUCUUUUAAGUCUGAUGUGAAAGCCUUCGGCUUAACCGAAGUAGUGCAUUGGAAACUGGAAGACUUGAGUGCAGAAGAGGAGAGUGGAACUCCAUGUGUAGCGGUGAAGUGCGUAGAUAUAUGGAAGAACACCAGUGGCGAAAGCGGCUCUCUGGUCUGUAACUGACGCUGAGGUUCGAAAGCGUGGGUAGCAAACAGGAUUAGAUACCCUGGUAGUCCACGCCGUAAACGAUGAGUGCUAAGUGUUGGAGGGUUUCCGCCCUUCAGUGCUGCAGCUAACGCAUUAAGCACUCCGCCUGGGGAGUACGGUCGCAAGACUGAAACUCAAAGGAAUUGACGGGGGCCCGCACAAGCGGUGGAGCAUGUGGUUUAAUUCGAAGCAACGCGAAGAACCUUACCAGGUCUUGACAUCUUCUGACAACUCCAGAGAUGGAACGUUCUCUUCGGGGACAGAAUGACAGGUGGUGCAUGGUUGUCGUCAGCUCGUGUCGUGAGAUGUUGGGUUAAGUCCCGCAACGAGCGCAACCCUUAUUGUCAGUUGCCAUCAUUAAGUUGGGCACUCUGGCGAGACUGCCGGUGACAAACCGGAGGAAGGUGGGGAUGACGUCAAAUCAUCAUGCCCCUUAUGACCUGGGCUACACACGUGCUACAAUGGACGGUACAACGAGUCGCUAACUCGCGAGGGCAAGCUAAUCUCUUAAAGCCGUUCUCAGUUCGGAUUGCAGGCUGCAACUCGCCUGCAUGAAGUCGGAAUCGCUAGUAAUCGCGAAUCAGCAUGUCGCGGUGAAUACGUUCCCGGGCCUUGUACACACCGCCCGUCACACCAUGAGAGUUUGUAACACCCAAAGUCGGUGGGGUAACCUUUUGGAGCCAGCCGCCUAAGGUGGGACAGAUGAUUGGGGUGAAGUCGUAACAAGGUA
rnacentral:rRNA from 1 species